ACCCAAGCAUCAGGUCCAUGACUUAGAAUCCCUUGAGAAGAGGUUGGUACAAGUUCCUCUCAGAUCUGGAGUUGAUCUGAGGUCGUUUGAGGCAUGGAUGAGAUCUCCAUCAACAAAUCUACAAGAAAGGCUGCAGCAGGAUAGAUCUACAAGGUCUGUCUCCAUCUACCUUCUUCCCUAUCUAGAAUAUCCCAAUUUGAGAUCUAUAAAUUGGAAGAUAUUGGUCCGAGCCUGAUCUAGUUGGGUACCAGAUCUUAAAUUUUUUAGAGAUGAUUUCAGAGGCGUUCUUCAUCUGGAAC
rnacentral:lncRNA from 1 species